UGUGCUCACACUCGCACUGAAGGCUGCCCUCUUUGAAGGUGCACAGGUUAGCGUGGAGGUUGCAUUUACACCUGGAAGAAGACGGGAGAGGAAGUGUCAGGGUUUUUUUCUACUGAACUCUGCUGUUUUCCCAGGGCAUCCAGUGCUGGGGUUACGAUGCCCAAGGUGGAUCUGCAGCCUCUAUUCCAAGAAGAGAGGUACUUUGCUCCCACCAUCCAGCUGCGGUAGCAGAGACCAUUUAAUGGUAAGUCAGAGUCCCAUCUGAGACCCCAGUAAAGCGUUGCAUAUAUUUCAGUCUGUUACAGAAAUCUGGCUGCUCUGCUCUGAUGCAGGCUUUUAUUGGAGGCAGAGGGGACAGCUUUGGGCUUUCAGAUGGAAGAGCACAGAUAACUCUGGUGCGACUCAGCCCCCUGACCCCUGCUCAGUGUGCUAAAUCCAAGAGCAUUUUCUCCUGUGGGGUGAAGCUACACAACACAAACCCUUUCUGCUACAUUCAGUGCAACCCCAGCCCGCUAUGCCCAAAUUAAUCCAGAGAAAAAGCUGCCAUCAGAAGCUGCCUUUUAGUCACUGCCUCAUCGGAGAAGGCAACAACAAAAAACACUGUUCAGCAAUUCGCAAGCAUUAAGAAACUUUUAAUGAGCUGUAGGGCAGUAUGCAGGGAAUAAUUAUCUUCACACACAGUAAUUCCUGUUGCUCUAACUCGGAAGGUGACUUGUGCAGAGCACAGAGGCUGAGCCCAUAAUUCACACGUGGCUCUAUCGACUCCUAGGACUUAGUUCAGGCCAUCAGACAGAGACUAUGGGGACCAAACCUUCUCAUUUCAUUCCAGACAGUGGAUCCCUAGCACAGUGUGAUGGUUUUUCACUGCUUUGUCCAUGGUGUAAUAAUUUACACCCUUACAAGCAGAACCAUUACAAAAUGGUAAUGCUGUACCUAACGUGAAUGGGCAGAGGAGUCUGACCAGGCAGCGUGCUGCUUUGCGGGGCUAAUUGCACAAGAGACUCAGAGCUGAGGGAAAUGAAACACUUGCAGAGAAGAUGAAGGAAACAUGGCCUGUUUCUUCUUGUGCUCUAUCUGCUCGGGGAUAAACAAAGUGGAUUAGGCUGGGAGCCGCAAGCGGGGUCCCUUCCCAGCUGCCAGCGCUGCGCAUGCGCUUGGUGCCUCUCCCCCUCCGCUUGGAGCCCCCAUGGAGGCUCCCAGCCGCCGUCCUGAUGUGGUGAGCACGCCUUUGCCGUGCUCCCGUUCACGCAUGGCUGGACACGCUGACCUCGCUUAGGAUUUUUUCUUUCCUCCCUCCCUGGCCUUAAUUCUAGCAAACAGCGGUUGGAGCUAAGCGUAAGCUGGAUGAGCAGCUCCCAUCGUACAGCCCUGCCCGUCUCUGACCAAGCAUGGGAGGGAGCUUUGCAGUCUCUAAAAAGGAAGUGGGAAGUGAAUUGGGUCUGUGGAGCAGAGGCUGUGACACGCUCAGCACGCUCCAUUGGUGUCUGUGUGCUACCAGAGCUGGAGGUGCUGUGUCACGGCCAAAAGCACUCGCAGCCUCCCAGCACCCCUGCUCCGUGCGCAGGCUGUGGACCUGAGCAGCCAGGCGAAGGAAGCAGCUUUGGCCAUCACUCACACCCAAGGGAUGCUGUACUUCAGCCGCUUCGUGUCCCCUCUGCCUCCCAUGAGGACGGAUUUCAGCCGAGCUGUCCCAGCCCUUUGGCAGAGGCGAUGCCCAGCCCUCGGCUGCUGCAGAGCCUGGCUCUGAAUUAUUCAGAGUCCAGCGAACUCAGCCUCCUUCUCUCACUUCAAAAUUAGCAAACAGGAGGGGAGGGAGGGGAGCAGGCAAGGGAACAGGUUAAAGCAGGUCAGAGCCUCACCACAACCACAUUGGGCUCUGAGUCAGAGCAACAGCUUUGGGGAGCCACAGCUGAGCUCCUCCUGCCCCUGAAAAGGUGCCUGCCUGCUCCUGUGCCAGCAAGCACAGCUUUUCCAGAGAGAAGCCUUGCUCCCUAAUUGGUGUAAACAAGGAAAAUUAAAUAAAGAGAAAGCAGAGGCAGCCUCUUGUCCUUCUUGCCUGGGUCACCUAUUUCUCACUGCUCAGCCUGUUGCCACUGUGCAAAAGUUUCGUUAUCCAAAGGAUCAAUUCUACCAGGGAAUUGCUUUCUGGUUUCGACCUCUGAGGAUCAUCAAUCUAAGCAGAGAACUAUAACCCCAGCAAGCUGACCCCACAACACAGCACUUUUCAGACCAAUCAAUCAGGCUGCAUUAUUUAAUAGCCAACUGCUGGCCCACAUUGCCAAUCCCAUCUUGCUCAAAGGUUUCUGCAUCUGGGCCUCCCUGCUGCUUGUGCUCAGCGUUAAACCCCUUGUUCAGGCUCCUCUGCCUCCUCCUCUGGGCCUGCAGCCCAAGGACGUGUGCCCGCUGACGGUCUGUGCUCAGCAGCAUUCCCCAGCCAAGAUCCAGCUGGUGAAGAUGGGAGAAAAUGAUAUUAGCCCAGUCCCCUGGGUGGGAGCUGCUUGUCCUGCUUGCCUCUGCUCAUCUUCCUCAGGCAUCCAGCCAUCUCAGGAAAAGAGAGGAUGAAGGGAAAGGUUAGGAGCUGCUUAGCAAUGAGGCUUAAAGAGCAGCAGUGGGGCAGACGCCUGUGCUGUGUGCUGCAGAAGGCAGUGAUGGCCUUUUCAGUCCCAGGCUGCUCUGGCUCUGCUCUCCUGGCAGCAAGGUGCUGAGUGCGGGGUGCUCAGAAGAGCUGCUAGCUUUUGUCCUCUCCAGCUCUGGUUCAAGAGUAACAGUCGUGGCAGUGGUUCUUGGUGCCCACGUAUGGUGCAGAUGUCGUGGGUGACAGUCUGGAGGAGAGCAAAUCCAGCAGGAGCCACAGCACUCACAGGUGCCCUCAGUGGCCUGGGGACACCAAAGUCCCGCGCUGGGCUGUUGGUCGGUGCACACACAACUGCCUUUUGCAUUAAACACCUGGCUCACUCCGU